rnacentral:lncRNA from 1 species
AAGAAUUUAUCUGGCACAAAAAUAAAAUUCAAAUCGUAGCGGAAAUUAACAUUGUACCUUUUUUUUUUCGAAAAACUAAAAUCCAUAUCGCAUAUGAAUAAAUCGAAAACAAAUCAAUCCAGUGCCGGCGGAUCAUUCUCAUAUUACAGUGUAAAAUAAUAAUCUAACCUAAAAAGAUUUGAAGAUUAGACUACAUCACUUUGGACCAGUUAAGGUUUCUUGAUCUAUUGUAUGGUUGAAACUGAAUGUAAUAAACUGAGGUUCCGAUUAGCCGCGCACGUGCCCGGCCUCUACGCGUAUCCACACGAAAUUGAUGCAGAUCCAACGUCUUCCGUCGCACGGAACAGAUGAGUCGUUGACUACAAAGAUGGUGCUAGCAAUCCUCUGAUAUCUACGUUCCCUUUAAUG